rnacentral:lncRNA from 1 species
CCCCCUGUCUGCUGCACCAGUUCGUCCCAUUCCCCCCACACCUUACUGUAUGCCGCCCAGGUAGCGGGUGCCAGAGAAUCCCUGAUCAGUCCGCCAAGCAUGAUGUCCCGAGCCGCCACAUCUCGUCCGGUCAAGACAUCCCUUCCUCCCGUGCGCCAGGUGCCACCUGCCGAAAUCUCUCACACUGUGAACGAGACAACGCAUCAGCAAUGACAUUCAACAGUCCCGGCACGUGGCGCGCCCGAAACACAAUGUUAAACCUCAUACAGAACAAGACAAAACAGCGAAAAAGCACACCACCGGGACAGAGGAUGCUGAUAGCCUGUUCACUGCAUCUACCACUGCCAUAUUGUCCGAAAAGAAUACCACCUUCUUAUCCCUCAACUGUGGACCCCAUAGUGACAGCGCCACUACCAACGGGAACAAUUCCAGGAACACUAGGUUGCGUAUCAGCGGGCUGGCCUUCCAGGCCCUUGGCCAAGUACCCGCGCACCAUUGACCCGAAAAGUAAGCCCCAAACCCGACACUCCCCGACGCAUCCAUAAACAGCUCCAACUCCUGAGAAGACGC